GACGAACGCUGGCGGCGUGCUUAACACAUGCAAGUCGAACGAUGAAGGAGAGCUUGCUCUCCGGAUUAGUGGCGAACGGGUGAGUAACACGUGACUAACCUGCCCCUUUCUCUGGGAUAACGCUCCGAAAGGAGUGCUAAUACCGGAUACGAACUCUGAACACAUGUUCGGAGUUGGAAAGUUUUUCGGAAAGGGAUGGAGUCGCGGCCUAUCAGCUUGUUGGUGAGGUAAUGGCUCACCAAGGCGACGACGGGUAGCCGGCCUGAGAGGGCGACCGGCCACACGGGGACUGAGACACGGCCCAGACUCCUACGGGAGGCAGCAGUGGGGAAUAUUGCACAAUGGGCGAAAGCCUGAUGCAGCGACGCCGCGUGAGGGAUGAAGGUCUUCGGAUUGUAAACCUCUUUCAGUAGGGACGAAGCGAAAGUGACGGUACCUAAAGAAGAAGCACCGGCUAACUACGUGCCAGCCGCCGCCGUAA
rnacentral:rRNA from 1 species